UACGGAGGGUGCAAGCGUUAUCCGGAUUCACUGGGUUUAAAGGGUGCGUAGGUGGGUUGGUAAGUCAGUGGUGAAAUCUCCGAGCUUAACUCGGAAACUGCCAUUGAUACUAUCAAUCUUGAAUCAUCUGGAGGUGAGCGGAAUAUGUCAUGUAGCGGUGAAAUGCUUAGAUAUGACAUAGAACACCAAUUGCGAAGGCAGCUCACUACACGAAUAUUGACACUGAGGCACGAAAGCGUGGGGAUCAAACAGG
rnacentral:rRNA from 1 species